rnacentral:ncRNA from 1 species
GGAAAGACAAUGAAGGGAAGUAGUACAUCGUCAGUUUUUUUCAGAGAGUCGGUGGCAGGUGAAAACCGAUAAAAUCUGUGAUGGAAUCCGUCCUGGAGUUAUGGGCUGAAAGGAGCAGUAGGCUUUAUCGGGUGCGACCGUUAUAUCGCGGCUAAGAGGAUUGGAGCAAUCCAAUCAAUUAGGGUGGCAACGCGGGAAUACGUCUCUCGUCCCUAUA